ACUUCAAAAUAUCUUCCUUCGUAUUCAACAGAACAAAGAAAUGUAUUCAGGUUUGGAACAACUUGAGGGCAAGUGAAUGAUGACAUAAUUUUCAUUUUUGGGUCAACUAUCCCUUUAAUAAUAAUAUAAUAAUGAUAAAUAAUACACACACGAUUAUGUAUUAGCACCUUUGGCAAUAGAAAUGAUUGUAAAUGAGCAUAAGCCCUGUACGGUCCGCUAUGCUGGUUUGUUUACAUCUAGCUACCACAAUUCCUUGCGCUCAGGCAGUUUGGCGUGACUUGCCUGGAACGCUACAAAGUCGUGAGUCGUGGUUUGAAGUCGUGACUUACAGGCUCAAAAACCUGCCUGGAACACAGCAUUAUAUAUGGAUGCUGUGAUAGGCGUCGUAUCCUAUAGGUAGACGUGAGUCACCUGGGAGUCAGUUGAUGCAAACUUGACUGACGUGACCUGCCAGAACUGACGCUACGCUUGAUUUAUCUUUAAUGUGACCACACCCACACGUUGCGCAGCAUUCCAAGUGUGAGGUACGCAAACCUGUAAAUGCCCCCAUCACCUUGAUAAACAAACAUCAAGCUUCAUCAUUCCUCUGCUUUUCUUUGAGUUUGGUAGACGCAUUGUGAGGAAUAAACCUUGAAUUUACCUCAGAAGAAGAAGAAUGCAAUUGAUCCAGCUGCGGGACCAGAUGCCAUUGAGUCUUGUUGACUUAAACAUUUACUCUUCAAAGUGUUUUUCUCUGAGAGUGCUGUACCAACAUAAGCAAGCUUGUACAUGAACAUGGUAAAAUGAAAAAGCAUGGAUAUGACAGGUGUGUUGAACAAGAACUGUUUCAGAAAUAGCACAGCGGUGUGUGACUCUUUAAGUCCCUGUUUAGAUCAGUGUGCUUAAAAAUGUCCUUUUUUUGUCCUUCGUUGUGUAUAUUUGGAUUGUGUUUUGUAAAUAAAAUUCAAUCAAAAAGC